CCUACGGGGGGCUGCAGUGGGGAAUAUUGGACAAUGGGCGAAAGCCUGAUCCAGCCAUGCCGCGUGUGUGAAGAAGGCCUUCGGGUUGUAAAGCACUUUCAGUGGGGAAGAAAGCCUUGGGGCUAAUACCCUCGAGGAAGGACAUCACCCACAGAAGAAGCACCGGCUAACUCCGUGCCAGCAGCCGCGGUAAUACGGAGGGUGCGAGCGUUAAUCGGAAUUACUGGGCGUAAAGCGCGCGUAGGCGGUCUGAUAAGCCGGUUGUGAAAGCCCCGGGCUCAACCUGGGAACGGCAUCCGGAACUGUCAGGCUAGAGUGAAGGAGAGGAAGGUAGAAUUCCCGGUGUAGCGGUGAAAUGCGUAGAGAUCGGGAGGAAUACCAGUGGCGAAGGCGGCCUUCUGGACUGACACUGACGCUGAGGUGCGAAAGCGUGGGUAGCAAACAGGAUUAGAUACCCCGGUAGUC
rnacentral:rRNA from 1 species